rnacentral:rRNA from 1 species
AACGAACGCUGGCGGCAGGCCUAACACAUGCAAGUCGAGCGAGGACUUCGGUUCUAGCGGCGGACGGGUGAGUAACGCGUGGGAAUGUGCCCUUCUCUACGGAAUAGCCCUGGGAAACUGGGAGUAAUACCGUAUACGCCCUAUUGGGGAAAGAUUUAUCGGAGAAGGAUCAGCCCGCGUUGGAUUAGGUAGUUGGUUGGGUAAUGGCCUACCAAGCCGACGAUCCAUAGCUGGUUUGAGAGGAUGAUCAGCCACACUGGGACUGAGACACGGCCCAGACUCCUACGGGAGGCAGCAGUGGGGAAUCUUAGACAAUGGGGGCAACCCUGAUCUAGCCAUGCCGCGUGAGUGAUGAAGGCCUUAGGGUUGUAAAGCUCUUUCAGCUGGGAAGAUAAUGACGGUACCAGCAGAAGAAGCCCCGGCUAACUCCGUG